rnacentral:rRNA from 1 species
UUAAUACAUGCAAGUCGAGCGAGCUGAACCAACAGAUUCACUUCGGUGAUGACGUUGGGAACCCGAGCGGCGGAUGGGUGAGUAACACGUGGGGAACCUGCCCCAUAGUCUGGGAUACCACUUGGAAACAGGUGCUAAUACCGGAUAAGAAAGCAGAUCGCAUGAUCAGCUUAUAAAAGGCGGCGUAAGCUGUCGCUAUGGGAUGGCCCCGCGGUGCAUUAGCUAGUUGGUAGGGUAACGGCCUACCAAGGCAAUGAUGCAUAGCCGAGUUGAGAGACUGAUCGGCCACAUUGGGACUGAGACACGGCCCAAACUCCUACGGGAGGCAGCAGUAGGGAAUCUUCCACAAUGGACGAAAGUCUGAUGGAGCAACGCCGCGUGAGUGAAGAAGGUUUUCGGAUCGUAAAGCUCUGUUGUUGGUGAAGAAGGAUAGAGGUAUUAACUGGCCUUUAUUUGACGGU